ACAAGAGUUGUCCGGAAUUAUUGGGCGUAAAGAGCUCGUAGGCGGUCCGUCGUGUCUGAUGUGGAAUCGCAAGGCUCAACCUUGCGCGUGCAGUGGGUACGGGCGGACUAGAGUGCAGUAGGGGAGUCUGGAAUUCCUGGUGUAGCGGUGAAAUGCGCAGAUAUCAGGAGGAACACCGGUGGCGAAGGCGGGACUNUGGGCUGUUACUGACGCUGAGGAGCGAAAGCAUGGGGAGCGAACAGGAUUAGAUACCCUGGUAGUCCAUGCCGUAAACGUUGGGCACUAGGUGUGGGGCUCAUUCCACGAGUUCCGCGCCGCAGCUAACGCAUUAAGUGCCCCGCCUGGGGAGUACGGCCGCAAGGCUAAAACUCAAAGGAAUUGACGGGGGCCCGCACAAGCGGCGGAGCAUGCGGAUUAAUUCGAUGCAACGCGAAGAACCUUACCAAGGCUUGACAUACACCGGAAUGGGCCAGAGAUGGUUCAGCCCUUUGGGCUGGUGUACAGGUGGUGCAUGGUUGUCGUCAGCUCGUGUCGUGAGAUGUUGGGUUAAGUCCCGCAACGAGCGCAACCCUCGUUCUAUGUUGCCAGCACGUAAUGGUGGGAACUCAUAGGAGACUGCCGGGGUCAACUCGGAGGAAGGUGGGGAUGACGUCAAAUCAUCAUGCCCUUUAUGUCUUGGGCUUCACGCAUGCUACAAUGGUUGGUACAAAGGGUGGCGAGACCGCGAGGUGGAGCGAAUCCCAGAAAGCCGAUCUCAGUUCGGAUCGUAGUCUGCAACUCGACUACGUGAAGUCGGAGUCGCUAGUAAUCGCAGAUCAG
rnacentral:rRNA from 1 species